rnacentral:rRNA from 1 species
UACGGAGGGGGCAAGCGUUAUUCGGAAUCAUUGGGCGUAAAGAGCGCGUAGGCGGCCUGGCAAGUCUGGCGUGAAAUCUCCACUGCUCAACAGGGAGAAGCCGCUGGAAACUGCCGGGCUUGAGGUCCGGAGAGGCCGGUGGAAUUCCCGGUGUAGCGGUGGAAUGCGUAGAGAUCGGGAAGAACACCAGUGGCGAAGGCGGCCGGCUGGACGGCACCUGACGCUGAGGCGCGAAAGCGUGGGGAGCGAACGGGAUUAGAUACCCGCGUA